AGUGAACGCUGGCGGUAGGCCUAACACAUGCAAGUCGAACGGCAGCACAGUAAGAGCUUGCUCUUACGGGUGGCGAGUGGCGGACGGGUGAGGAAUACAUCGGAAUCUACUUUUUCGUGGGGGAUAACGUAGGGAAACUUACGCUAAUACCGCAUACGACCUACGGGUGAAAGCAGGGGAUCUUCGGACCUUGCGCGAUUGAAUGAGCCGAUGUCGGAUUAGCUAGUUGGCGGGGUAAAGGCGCACCAAGGCGACGAUCCGUAGCUGGUCUGAGAGGAUGAUCAGCCACACUGGAACUGAGACACGGUCCAGACUCCUACGGGAGGCAGCAGUGGAGAAUAUUGGACGAUGGGCGCAAGCCUGAUCCAGCCAUACCGCGUGGGUGAAGAAGGCCUUCGGGUUGUAGAGCCCUUUUGUUGGGAGAGAAAAGCAGCAGGUUAAUACCCCGCUGUUCUGACGGUACCCAAAGAAUAAGCACCGGCUAACUUCGUG
rnacentral:rRNA from 1 species